CUUUGGAAAAAAUAAUACUAUUACCUGUUGAGUCGGCUUUCGGCGGUAGUUCUUCACAAGUUUUAUUCAGGUUGGAGCUUACACGUUACGGACAUUAGAUCAUUUACAUCUAGAUAGACUUGGAUGGCUGUGUAAACGUCUUAAAAAAUUGAGGUUGACAGUUAACCUCUCUUUUGAGCAAUGUACGCACACUAACACAAUGUGUCAUACAAAUCUCGAGUUACGUUGUGAGACACGAGGCAGUUCAAGAUUUGGCAUAGUAAAAAUUUGCAUAGCGAAGAAGAAAGAAAAGCAAAAACUGAUAAUAUUAUAAAUCAAUCAUUGUCAACUUUAUGAA